rnacentral:miRNA from 1 species
CCCCCUUGACGGCGCGCGCGUGCACGCGCGCGCGCG